rnacentral:tRNA from 1 species
AAGGUUUUAAGUGAAUUAAAACUAUGAGCCUUCAAAGCGUAAGAUAAAGAUAUUUCUUUAAACCUUGCC